AUGGACAAUACAGACGAGCCUUGGCCUGAAAAUGCAAGGUCUAAAAGCAAACUGAGCACCGUGAGACUGAGCCCGUGUCUUCUGAUCAUUCUGACUGUUUGUUGCUAUGAAACUAAUGCUGGCAAGAUCUGUGAUGCUUUUUGGAGUGAGAGCAGGGCCUUCCUUCGAAGUAGUGAGGAAGACCUGAAGAAGGAACUUGAGAAAUAUUCUGCACCCAAGAAGGCUGUAGAAGCAAAACUGGAGGUGAAGCAAUGUGUAGACCAGAUGCACUAUUUAGACAGAGAGCGAGUAUUACUAGCACUGAUGUACGUUUCACUUAGAUGUGAGAAAGGAUGGCUGGCAGAAGAUAUUUUUGAUAUUCCAGGGGAAAGUAUUUGAACUAAUUUUCCCUGCUUAAUGUGAAGGUUUCAAUGUCUUGUACUAAUAAAUUACACUCCGUGCAUGCAA